CCCAAGAGAUCGGGAUAACACCUGGAAACAGAUGCUAAUACCGGAUAAUAACAGAUGAUGCCUAUCAACUGUUUAAAAGAUGGUUCUGCUAUCACUCUUGGAUGGACCUGCGGUGCAUUAGCUAGUUGGUAGGGUAACGGCCUACCAANGGCGAUGAUGCAUAGCCGAGUUGAGAGACUGAUCGGCCACAUUGGGACUGAGACACGGCCCAAACUCCUACGGGAGGCAGCAGUG
rnacentral:rRNA from 1 species